ensembl:piRNA 21ur-6535 ncRNA
UACUAGUGCUUCGGAAAACAA